GGAAGGUAGCCGGAUAUGGUUUGCCGGGACGUCUUGCUAAGGCGUUUCCCAACUGGGAUGAGGGUUCGACUCCCUUGCCUUCCG
rnacentral:tRNA from 1 species